GACGAACGCUGGCGGCGUGCUUAACACAUGCAAGUCGAACGGAAAGGCCUGCUUUCCCUUGUGGAUUGCGGGUACUCGAGGGGCGAACGGGUGAGUAACACGUGAGUGAUCUGCCCGCAACAUGGGUAUAAGCCUGGGAAACUGCGUCUAAUUCCCGAUAGGACUGCAGGGUGGUGCCUGUGGUGGAAAACGAUGGUCUAGGGGUUGGGGAUGAGCUCGUGGCCUAUCAGCUUGUUGGUGGGGUAAUGGCCUACCAAGGCGGGGACGGGUAGCCGGCCUGGGAGGGUCGGCGGCAACAUUGGGACGGAGAUACGGCGAAGAAGACUCCGGGCGGCCGCCGUGGGGAGGCAUGAGUGAUGAGCGGUGGCCUGAUGCAGCGAGGCUGCGUGGGGGAUGACGGGUGUGGGGUGGUAAACUCCUUUCGGCAGCGAGGAAGCGCCUGUGUUGGAAGGGUGGUGACGGUAGUGGUAGAAGAAGCACCGGCUAACUACGUG
rnacentral:rRNA from 1 species